GAUGAACGCUAGCGGCAGGCUUAAUACAUGCAAGUCGAGGGGCAGCAUGACUGUAGCAAUACAGUUGAUGGCGACCGGCAAACGGGUGCGGAACACGUACGCAACCUACCCAAAACUGAGGAAUAGCCCGGGGAAACCCGGAUUAAUACUUCGUAACAUAAUUGAAUGGCAUCAUUUAAUUAUUAUAGCUCCGGCGGUUUUGGAUGGGCGUGCGCCUGAUUAGGUAGUUGGAGGGUAACGGCCUACCAAGCCAACGAUCAGUAACUGGUGUGAGAGCACGACCAGUCACACGGGCACUGAGACACGGGCCCGACUCCUACGGGAGGCAGCAGUAAGGAAUAUUGGUCAAUGGACGCAAGUCUGAACCAGCCAUGCCGCGUGAAGGAUGAAGGUCCUCUGGA
rnacentral:rRNA from 1 species